rnacentral:tRNA from 1 species
UAUUUGUGCUGGGACGGUUGGACUCCUGACAUUUCAGGUGUUUCAGAAUAUCGCAAUGACAAUUGGUUUGAUGCCAAUCACAGGUGU